AGGGAGGUAACGGAGAGAAGGAGGGAUUUAGGAGAAGAGGGAGGAGGCAGUGAAGAGUAAAAGAGGCGGAAUGGGAACUUGGAUGGCGGAGUGAUGCGUGUACUAACUCCCACAUCUUCCCCCAGCUGGAAAGGAUCCGGGUGGACAGUACUAUUCAUAGGCUCCCUGCUCACUGUACCUUCUCACCACUUAACCUCAGCACAUAUACACCCGGUACAGUUGCCUCUUAAACAGAGUCCGUGGUGCUCUUCAUUACAAGCCCUUAAAGGAGAUGCCACUUUGGAAGCUUUGGAAAAGCAGCUCCUGAAGUCCAGCUGGUGACCAGGGAGAGGACUGAACAGAUCAAUGGCCUUUUUCAAUGAAGUUAUGUGUUUCUCCCCAUCAGUGUGAACACGACUGAGUACCUGCCGCAUCUAAAAUUGAGUUUUAAGGUUUUAUCACCAUGAAAUGCUCAUUCCAAUUGUGUUGUGUAGUAAAAUGCAGCAGGAGGUGGAAAAGCCGUACCUCAGAGAGAUUUGGAGCUUCUGUGUUCAGACUGUUUUGCACCACCCUGCCAUUGCACGUGAAAGAUAUCUGUAAAUAGAAAGCUGCUAAUGAUGGGGGCGGGGACACAAUUGGAUUGUCUAUAGAAAGACAGAUCCUUGUGAGUUCUGUUUAGAAUGUAAUACAAAUCCUGGAAAAACAUCUCACUGAAUUAGACUCCCUCUAUGUUACUGCUGCAUCACGAGCCUCGAGAGGAAAAACAACCAUAAAGAAAAUGUUAAAUCAAUGGGUCUCCAUCUAAACAUUCAGAAAACAUUUACUGAACACCAAUCACAGGUAAGGAAUGGUGUUGGAAGACACAAGAACACAAAAAUGAAUUGGUUAGAGCGGCAUCCCCGGGAGUCUCAUACUAGAAACACACCCAUAAUCAUAAUGUAAGGCACACAAUAAGUGCUACCCAAAUAUAAAAAGUUUCAGGAGUGUUCAGGAUAGGGAGGUAAUACCUACAGUUUAUCAGCGAUUAGAAGAGGUGGGAAGAGGUUGGGGGAGGUGGGGAUGGGUGCCAGAGUUCUGGGAAAGCCUUUUUCAAGAAAUGACAUCCAAACUGAGUUAAAAGAUGUGGAAUUCAGAAGAAGAAAGCAAUUCUUGGCAACAGGAACACACUACGUCAGCCCUUCCAUUCGGCUGAGCUGGAAGGUACUUGGAGGCAAGCAGCUAAACGUAAAGGCAGAAAGGUGAAUGGCGCCAGAUUCCAAAAGGUUCUAAAUGCCUCACUGUGAGGAGAUUUAUUCAUUGACCAGGUACUUGUUUUAAUGGCUUUAAAGAUUUGGAACCGAAGGUGAAGGGCAAAAAUAAACUUUAUCGCUGAGCAGGU